CAUCAGACCCGCUGCUGAGCCUGAUGACAUCAGACCCCCUGCUGAGCCUGAACUCACACAGAAACUCUCGGAGAACCAGCGCAGCUUCCUGGACCGGCCGUCUCCGCUCAGCUUGUCCAGCUCCUGCUUGAUGUCUCUGGACACUUUCCCACAGAGCAGCGGCGGCGAGCCGG